AGCAAGCACCGGCUAACUCCGUGCCAGCAGCCGCGGUAAUACGGGGGGUGCAAGCGUUACUCGGAAUCACUGGGCGUAAAGAGCAUGUAGGCUGAUUAGUAAGUUGGAAGUGAAAUCCUAUGGCUCAACCAUAGAACUGCUUCCAAAACUGCUUAUCUAGAGUAUGGGAGAGGUAGAUGGAAUUUCUGGUGUAGGGGUAAAAUCCGUAGAGAUCAGAAGGAAUACCGAUUGCGAAGGCGACCUACUGGAACAUUACUGACGCUGAGAUGCGAAAGCGUGGGGAGCAAACAGGAUUAGAUACCCUGGUAGUCCACGCCCUAAACGAUGCACACUAGUUGUUGCUAUGCUAGACAUAGCAGUAAUGCAGUUAACACAGUAAGUGUGCCGCCUGGGGAGUACGGUCGCAAGAUUAAAACUCAAAGGAAUAGACGGGGACCCGCACAAGCGGUGGAGCAUGUGGUUUAAUUCGACGAUACGCGAAGAACCUUACCUGGCCUUGACAUAGUAAGAAUCUAAUAGAGAUAUAAGAGUGCUAGUUUACUAGAGCUUACAUACAGGUGCUGCACGGCUGUCGUCAGCUCGUGUCGUGAGAUGUUGGGUUAAGUCCCGCAACGAGCGCAACCCUCGUGUUUAGUUACUAACAGUUCGGCUGAGGACUCUAGACAGACUGCCUGGGUAACCAGGAGGAAGGUGAGGACGACGUCAAGUCAUCAUGGCCCUUACGGCCAGGGCUACACACGUGCUACAAUGGGGUAUACAAAGAGCCGCGAUACCGUGAGGUGGAGCAAAUCUCAUAAAAUAUCUCCCAGUUCGGAUUGAAGUCUGCAACUCGACUUCAUGAAGUUGGAAUCG
rnacentral:rRNA from 1 species